rnacentral:rRNA from 1 species
UACGUAGGCAGCAAGCGUUGUUCGGAAUUACUGGGCGUAAAGCGUGCGUAGGCGGUUUUGUAAGUCUGUCGUGAAAGCCCCGGGCUCAACCUGGGAAUUGCGAUGGAGACUGCAAGGCUUGAAUCUGGCAGAGGGGGGGUAGAAUUCCACGUGUAGCAGUGAAAUGCGUAGAGAUGUGGAGGAACACCGAUGGCGAAGGCAGCCCCCUGGGUCAAGAUUGACGCUCAUGCACGAAAGCGUGGGGAGCAAACAGG